AUUGGCAAAAACAUUAUUGUCAUGGGAGAUUUCAACGAUGACAUAUUGAAGUCAUCUUCAAUUUGCAAAUUUUUCCAAGAUAGAGGUUAUGAUCAGGUGAUCACCCAGCCUACCACAGAGCGAGGCACUUUGAUUGAUCAUGUUUAUGUGAGAGGGGGCAUUUUCCACACACAAGCUUAAGUAAUGCCUUCAUAUUUUAGCGACCAUGAAGGUAUUUACUGCAGCUUUAAAAUUUGUGAUUAAUCAUGUACACUGCUGUUUUUGAUAUUAUUAAUGCUUUUCAUAGAAAAGUAGAUUUGAAAGUGUUUUAGCAGGUUUCCAAACGCCUGGCAGAUGGAUCAAUUUACAACGCCUGGACAAACCAUGAUGUCAACGCGAGUGACCACUUCAGCACAUUGUAAGUAAUGAUUUGGAUGGACAUUUAUGGUGAUUGUAUGCAAACUAACAUUUGAUAUAUAACCUCUCCACUUCAUUUACACUUGCAAUUAUUCUGAACAUCACAACUUGACUACAAAGAAUGAAAACAUUAGCAAUCGCCUAGUUACCAUUUCUCCAAUAUGAUGACUUCUUCAUUUGUCAGCAUGUAACUGAUGUGAUCUCUCCUCUCCUCAAUGUUUCAACAAAUAUACCAUACAUCUUAUGUUUGCUCCAGCUGAAGACUGACCAGCCCAUCAUUACUCCACCUUUGGUGAGAUGAGACCCUGAUGGAUUACUGAAACAAUAAACAAUUG